rnacentral:sRNA from 2 species
AUAUUGUUUUCGCUUAGUCUCUCAUUGAUGAGAGAGCGGGGGAACCAAAAAUGAAUUGGGGUUAAUACAGUGUGUUCACACUGUUAGGGUUAUACUUUUCAAUCCGAACCCGUCAGCUAACUUCGUAGGCGUAGAAAAGUUGACAA